CCCUGUUGUGUGGGAGAGCAUGCAGUGCCUGUGGGUGAGGACAGCUGUGUGUUGGCCAGGCCCACCAGAGGAUUUUUGAUGGAAGAAGAGAGAAGUUAGUACCUGGUUUAACCUCCCCUCCAGCACGUACAAGGCAGCUUCGGCAGGCAGAGCUCCGCACUGCCCUGUUAUUUAUGGGAUGCUGAAAACUGGCCAAAAUGAAGGGAAAACACCAGAUACAUAAGGAUGCUUACCAACUGAAACUGCCAGUUCUGCUUGAGGGAGAACCCGUGAGACUCAGGAGGCGAUUACAAGGCCUUUCAUCUCCAGAUCACCAGUUCAAAGGCAAUUCCCACCAGCACUGACCAAGCUGUAGUCAACUAAUAGCUAUUUAAAUCAGAUAAGCCAUUGCCUCCUCGCUCUCCGAGAAGCCAGACCAGCCCCAUCGAUGUACACUACAUGCAAUCUCAGCAGAGUAGCUAAGACCAAAGAGGGAAACAAUCCAGCAGCUCUCCUGCUGUAGGAGCUGCUAGAUCAACAAGGAGAUCCAUGGUGGCUGAAGCCAACUCAUUUCAUGGCACGUUGUAUCCAGUCCCGUCAGCAAAGCACAGAUCAGUCAUGCUAACAGGGGGUUGCGUGUUACUCCUCCCACCUUUGUUGCUGGUAUCCGAACACCUCAAAAUAAAAACAACCCACUCUUCCAAGGACGGGGGACUUGCACUGGCUGGGGAAGUCAGGGCUGAUCCAGAGGUGCAAGCUGCUGUCGUGCACAGAGCUGGGACUUCCCUUUCUAAGGUCUGGUACUGAUGCGCAGGACCUUGCUACUCUAGAGCGGAUGUUUUCCAAGCUCUAAAAAUAACUAACUCCAAACAACAUGGUGGGCAUAGAGAAAUAUUUAUUUUUGGGCUUUUGCAGAGAUCAAUGCAGAAGAAAAAAGAUUAAAGCAAAGAUUUAAGUGUGUAUUAAAAAUAGCUUUUGAUAAGAUCCUGUGAGGGGAUAAAAGCUCUUUUACAGAGGCAGCAAGAGCUGCAGGACUUUGCAACACCUCCCCUGCAGUUAACUGUGUAAGGUCCCGGAAAUCAUUCAAGAGAGUGUUAGCAGCCAGAGGCCUCGGGAGGAAGUCCAUUAGCAGGCAGCAAUCUCCUUAAUGGACCCUCGGGGUAUGUGGUAGACACUGCCUUGGCCAUGGACACUCGGUUCUUUCCACUGCUGGGAUUCAAGGGCUGCUCGUGCAGCCAUUAUCAUCCAGCACUCUAAGGAAUGCUCCUCAUCUUUAUGGCAGCCCAGGAGCGCGAUGAAUUACGCUUCUGAGUAGCUUUCGUUGAGCGAGGACGCAAAUUGGCAUAGUGAGUUUUUUCCCUUUUUUUUUACAGCACCUAGCAAAGACAGACACCGAUCCAUACGUGCUAAUGUAAUGCAGGUAAAAGCACUAACAGCUGUGAAGGCCUUUGCUUUCCAAGGACAGCAUCCUGGCAAAACAAAAAUAUUGUCUCCAUGGCUGAUCUUGGCCUGAAAGAUCAAGCAGAGCCUUGUACAUUUAUGUGUAGACAAAAUCAUUAAGUCCUCAGCUGUGCAACUGGCUCCACUCGAGCAGGUCUGAGAGCGGGCAGCCACCCCGGAGAGAUCCGAAGAGGCAGGAACCUUCCUACUGGGAAUGAAAAGCAGGGCUGCUGUGCAGAGCACUACUGGCUCUGUUAAAAGGUAAGCUUGGUUUCUCAAAACAGCUCUCUGCCAUGACGUGGUUUGCCAGUCUUACUCCUUACUGCUAAUGAAACAGAAAUUCUGACUUGCUUUGGAUAUGUAGAAUACUAUAGGCUCUCUCAGCAACCACUGAAGGACUUCAUGGUUAUACACCUUGAGACAUACCGAACAAGACUGUCAAAAAUGGCAAGUGAAUUAGGUGUAUCAGGUGGGGGAAUGAGCAGGGAAGUCGGAUGCUGUCAAUGGACCUGAAUUUUUAGAAGUAUUAUACUUCCACCCUCCAAAACAGAGUCUAAACCAAAGUGCCCCAAUUUACAUUCUACCUGUGAAAUGCUGGCCACUUAUAUAAGAAGCUGCCCCAAAGGUUACUAAAGUGGGGAUUUUCAGAAGAGGUCAUGGGCGCUAGAAACACAGCCUAGUAAUGGGAACAAAUCCCCUUAGAUUUCAGUGGAUUUCUCCAGCACAGCAGAAAAUCCUACCUAGGCCACCAAAAUAUAUUUUUAACAGCGUGAUUAAAAAUCUUGGAAUACUGCUUAACAUUGUUGACUGCUACCUUUUAGCCGCAUGCCAAAGAUACAGUAAGUCCCUGGCACAUGGCAGUUUUAAAGCUAAAUGCCUUCAAGUGAGCCAGCUGUACCCAGAUGAAUUAAGAGGACUCUUAAAAACCUGCUGAUCUUACAUUUGUGUUGAAAUAAUCAGGUACAUUGAUGGGAGCGGGUUAGAGGGUGUUCUGGCUUUGACUCUGAAAUCCCUGAGAUUUAUGACUUUUAAAACAACCAACAAAACCUUGAGCAUUAUCUGAACACAAUUUAAUUUCAUCUACUUCAUCUAUUGCUCCGCUGAAACCUUCAUUUCCCCUUGUACCUGACUCUGUGUUAAGCCCUGCGCUCCAUCCCGCGAAGGGCACUACAUAACUCAAUACAUUAUAUUAUUUAUACUGACAAAUGAUUAUUGCACGACAGAACAAUUCCCAUUAAUUUUGCGAGCUGUCAGGUUACAGCAUGUAUGUGGCUGGUUUUCUUUCUGAAUUAGUCAAAGCCAGCCCAGUGUUGACUGGAUGCCCGUUUGACAGCUCUCAGCAGUCUGCAGGUGAGUUCAUGGGAAUCCUACCCAACUGUGCUCUCAGGAGCAGGGGAAAUUGCAGAAAUUUUUUUUUUUUUUUUUGCCAACUCCCAUUUAUAAAUUUUGCUUCUGCAUCUGCUGCUCUCUUCUCUGCCAGCUGUCUGGUUUGGAACAUGCACCAAAAGCAAUUUCCUUCAAUACCCAAUGUAGCAGAGAAGGAGCUUUGACAGGACACUUAAGAACUGCAGAGGAACACCCUCUCUAGACAUCGCUUCUUGCAUAUUAGUGUUUUUUCUAAGAAAUUUGAAGGCCUGGCUUAGGGUGCUGCUCAAGUAAGAACUGAGCACCAGCGCAAUGAUGCAGCUGUCUUGGUUUUGCGCUUCCAAGCGGUGUGUUAGACAGCUGAACUUCUGCACGGGAGUCACACAACAGGAUGAAAUCCAGCAAGGCAAUCAAAGUGAGCGACUGCUGAGGAGGAAGUGGUAAUGGAACCUCAGCUGGCCCUUCUUGUGCAGGAAACCUCUUUAAUAUACAACUCCCCCAACAUUUAUCCCCAGAGGAAGCCUGCUUGACCUCCGCUUAUCUAAAAUGAGAAGCAGAAGUUUGUUGAGGAGUUGGUUAUCCUUGAGACCAAUGUUCUGGUGAAGUCCAUGGAGUGCCUUGCUGUCCUGUUCCCCACAGAUGUACUCUUUUGUUGAAAAGGACUCUUGCGGACUCAGGAUCCUGUUGGUCUGUGGAAAUCCUUCCCCUCGCUAACUCCCUCCCACCACUUCAGGCCUGCUCUGUAAGGAGUUCACCAACCAUCUCCGGAUCAUCAGGGCCUGAUGCAACAAACUGUGAAGCAUUAGCUCGAAAUAUACAGCUGGGAGGCCAGUUCUGCUUCACGGCACGAACCCCCCAUCGCAAAGGACGAUAAAGCAGCGAGCACAAUUUGCGAGAGAAACAUAAGUGAUAAUCCGAGAAAGCUGCAAGGAAAGCAGGAGCAAAUCGGGGCUAACCAACAUUUUACCCUCUGGAGAUGGCUAAAAUUAGGGACAGGAGGCUCAGAAACCAGGCCCACCCACAGCUGUUAGGCAGGGCAGCUUCUGUCCUUGUUUGUGACGCUACAUGCAGAAGCUCGUUGCGCUUUAUCUACUUGUUGAGGUGAUUUUUGGCAACUCAACAGGUGUUCGUGGUGCAAAUCCUCAGUGUGUGGACAGAUAAUUGAAAAACAGCUGCAGCAGGGCCAAGAGACCCAGAAUUCAACUUGUACAAGGAAAAUAAACAGGUCAGUAAAAGAACCUAAGUUCACGAUCAGAGCAACAUCUCUGUCCACAUUUCUUUCUCCUCACUAAAGAAAACACAUUUUACUCUUUGAAUCUAGUUGUGCUUCAGUAACCAAUUCUCAGAAGAAUUCAGAGCAAGAGGGAAUGUGCUGGUAUCGCGUUCUUUGUCAACAGCUGUAAAGUGGAUGUGCAUCCAGCUACUCCUUAGUGGUGAUGCCAGAUAUUGCUUACCCAAAUAGGAACACCCAGCCCUUCCUAAGAAUUUUUUUGAAGAUGUUAUUAAGCGUCUGAUUUUGGCAUGGCUCUCAAAGCUGUUUGUCCCGAUUUUUUACUGCCUGUUGAAAAGAAAGCAAUACUGCAAAUACUUCCCAUCAGAAAAUACCAACAAGCGGCUUAUCAUAACUGCAGUAGGGCUCACAACAUUUCCACCGAGUGAUUUUUGGCACUGACAGCUGACUCGGAACAGUUGUUGGUGGCUGGGACAGAUGGACUUCAUAUAUUAAAAAAAAAGAAAUGAGAACUUCUCCUCUGUAGAUUUUGAAAAGCCUUUCGCACAAUCCAACAUAUUACCAAAACCUCAGAAUUAAGUCAAUGGGAGAUCUUAAUACACUGAGCUUUAAAACUGAAACGUGCCAGCGACUUGCUGUAUGUCCCCCUCAAAAACUCUAAGGUAUCUACACGUUUUAUUUUCAACGGAAGUACUGGAGCAUUCUGGGAAGGUCUCCACAGCUCUGCCCUCAGCCUAGCACCUGAGAUCUUCAAAAUCCACAUGUCCAUUUCCACAGGGAAGCUUGAAACAGAGACCUCAAGGUAGGACGUAACACUGAUGUCAAUUGUAAGCCUCACUCCCCAUCACUGGUGUGUAAUUAUGGCCAUGGCAUUUCCCUGAUGUGUAGAAUCUUUAGAUGCUUUUAGUGCUAGAGCUGGGUAUGCACUGACUACCCCGUGCUUCGCUGGCUCCUGGUUGGGGGCACUGAUUUAGGGCCGUGAUCAAGGGUAAGGUCUGUUCUCUGGCAAUAACACUGCAGGAGGAGGCAAUCCCCGCGCCGCUGCGCUUGUGAGCUAAGGAGCACCGUACAGUCUAACGCACACGAGUCAGAGUUUUGCAGCUUGGGAUCUCAGCACCUUGUUAGCUUUGCCAGCUUCCUUUUGUGCCUUUUUCUUUCCAAGCUGCCACCAAACUCAUCCUUGCGGUCGCACUCCUAUCUCGCUGUCCAGCACCAACCCUGCAGACCUCAGCACGCGUUUUAUUUUGUCCUGCUGACAGCAUAACCUUAACUUAGUGGGAUGCCCCUCGGUAUGUAAAAUGAAGCGUCGUGGAACAAACUUUUUUAUUCUCAACCUCACUCCUGCCCACUCUUCUGGGCUUACGACCCCAGAUUUGAAAACAGCUGGAAAUCAGUACAGGACGAGGCACUUUGAUUUGGCCAUAACCCUUCGUAUUUCAAUGAAGAGCAAACCCUGUUAUCACUUGGUUUAAUCACGGGGUAAAUGUUCUCAGGCAGUGAUGUGAAACUAGUGAUGUCUGGCUGUUUUUAGCAACUUUUAUCUGUCUAAAGAAAUGCAAAAGUAUCUGUAGGUCAUUUCCAGCCUUGCUAUCUUUUAAGGCCAGAUUCAACAGGACGCUUAGGCACUGCUCACGUAACAGAGGAAGGAAAGGGGGCACCUUUCUGCCUUGCAGCCCAACUGAAAGGAAAAGUUGUGUUAAGUCUGUCGUUUUUCUCAUUCAAAGGGAGCAUCCGAAUCCAGAGUUAGCACCUGGAAGACCGUGCGAUGCUCCAGGGUCAGGCACUCCCAAUUCCUCCUGCUGAAAACUUUCUGCUACAAACGACAGUAAAGCAAGUGAACGACAGACCCUGGAGCACGGCGACAACCAUCUCCUCAUCGCAGAUGAGUGUCAAGAGUCAUCUUCUCACCCCUCUGCUCACUUUUGGGGUAAAUCGUGCUCAAAUCUCACUUUUCUGGAGGCCCAAGAGGCUCUGCAAGUUAUCUGGAGUCGAUGAAAAAUUGUUUUGUCCUUAAGCUGUUUGAAGUGGA